UCCCCCGACGACCGGUGCAGGAGAUAGAAAGAGGAGAGGGAGGUGUGGCGGCGGACGGGAGAGGGUCGACCUCGCGGUCGGUGGCGCCUUGAUCUGAGAGAAAGACGAGAGGGAGGUGUGGCGGUGGACGGGAGAGGGCCGACCUCGCAGUAAGUGGCGGCUCGAUCUCUACAAGAAAGAAGGGGUUUGAACUCCUCCCCUGUGAGCAUGGGAGGGUGAGAAGAACAGAGGUGGAGGUAGGACCGCGAUGCCGGAGCUCUAGGCAUCGCUCGCGUUGUCGUGGAGUGGAGAAGUGUCGCCGGCCAUGACUGAUGGUCGUUGCUCACCGGUCGUCGUCCCCUGUCCCCAAUCCAGAUCUGAGAAAGAAGAGGAUAGGAAGUAUCAUCAGGAAGAGUUUGAUGAAGGUGUACUCUCUCUCUCUCUCUCUCAAAGUCAAGUUUUUUCUGCAUUAUGAUAUUUGUUUGUUUUAGCCAUGUUUAGAUUAGUUUCUAUGUAUGCCAACUAUUUUGUUUGUUUAUAUUCCAGCGACCUAUGUUCCAUACUGAAUGCAUAUUUGUGCAGUGGUUCUUAGUUAUAUUCUGAUAAAGAGAGAAAGAAUUUGGAAUAGAGAUAUAAGGCCUUAGAUUUUUUGCCUCCAACAGAAGAAAUGAUUCAUGUGUGCCUCCCUUUUUGUUAUAUCUUACAUACUUUUUUACCUGGGCAGAUAUCACAUAAUCAUGGUUGGCAGCUAAUAUCCAAAAUUUUAGUGUUGUCAGUACACUGAGGUUUAUCUUAUUUUGGUAAAGGUUUUGUCUAUCAAGAACUACAUAUGCUCGACAUGGUGUCGUGGUAUGUAUAGUUGUUGUGGAGCCUGCUGGUAUUCUCGCCUUCCACUGCCUCUUUCCCCUCUCUGUGCCUAUGCGAGCUACAUUGGAAGAAUCCAUGUAUUUAGUUGUGGCAUGUUUGGCAGCUACAGCAGCUUGAUAAUUAAUUAGUUCUCAUCCAAGGGGGGUUUAUUCACAAGGCUUAUCUUGUGGUGUGUCGGCAGCGCGACUGUACGCCACUGUUAUUAGGUUGUUUCAUUUCUACAGCAACACAGGCAAUGCUUAUGUAUUGCACAUAUUUUUAUUUCUUUUGAUUUUGCCUUGGUUUUAUUUAU